AUACUACCCGUUAGAUUUCAGGAAAUAGACGGUCAGAUUUGGCUUUGGUUAGAUUAUUUUACUGAUUUUAUAAUUCACUAAAUAACAUAAAAUAAUUCGACGGGGUUAAAUCAGUAUUUUAUCACCCCCGAUUAUUAACUCUCCCUAAUCAAAUCCCGGAUAUUGUGCAAAUUCCAAACGACUUGCGGCAUCUUUAUAUUCAAGAAAUAGAGUUUGGGCAGAAUGUUCUGGGCGUCGAUAUUCAUGAACGGCGGAAGAUUUUGGGCGGCUAUUUUCUUCAGCGAUUUCAACCAUUGACGAAUGGACGCUGGAAUUAUUGAAGUCUGCUCAUCCAAUCUACCCACCUUUUUCACUAUCCUCUAGAAAUCGUCGACUUCAUUUCAAUUUCUCUAAAAUUUUCUGGUUACAAUGGAUGGAUCGUUUUUGCUCUUUAGGGGAUUCCUCGAGCCUUAUAACUGGAAGUGCUGAUCCAUCUGCAAAGUCAUAUGGGAUGUCAAAACAGGGACUCUGUUUUCUGUUAAUUGAAAAACUUUGUUUUGUUCAUUGCGAAAUUGUAAUUAUUCAUUACAUAUCAUAUUCAUGAAUAAUAUUAUUUUAUUCAGAAAAAUAUUUUCCUUAUUCACAACUUAUGAAUAGUAGAUGUAUUAUUCAUCAAA